rnacentral:rRNA from 1 species
UAGGGAAUCUUCGGCAAUGGACGAAAGUCUGACCGAGCAACGCCGCGUGAGUGAAGAAGGUUUUCGGAUCGUAAAACUCUGUUGUUAGAGAAGAACAAGGACGUUAGUAACUGAACGUCCCCUGACGGUAUCUAACCAGAAAGCCACGGCUAACUACGUGCCAGCAGCCGCGGUAUUACGUAGGUGGCAAGCGUUGUCCGGAUUUAUUGGGCGUAAAGCGAGCGCAGGCGGUUUCUUAAGGCUGAUGUGAAAGCCCCCGGCUCAACCGGGGAGGGUCAUUGGAAACUGGGAGACUUGAGUGCAGAAGAGGAGAGUGGAAUUCCAUGUGUAGCGGUGAAAUGCGUAGAUAUAUGGAGGAACACCAGUGGCGAAGGCGGCUCUCUGGUCUGUAACUGACGCUGAGGCUCGAAAGCGUGGGGAGCAAACAGG